GCGGUUUUAGUGAAAUUCACAUAAUCUUUUCGUGGUUAAAAUAAAAAUCGUU
rnacentral:tRNA from 1 species